rnacentral:rRNA from 1 species
UAACGAAUAUUCCGCAAUGCGCGAAAGCGUGACGGAGCAAUGCCGCGUGCAGGACGAAGCCCCUCGGGGUGUAAACUGCUGUCAGGGUCCAGGAAUCCAUGACCAGACCCAAAGGAAGGACCGGCUAACUCUGUGCCAGCAGCCGCGGUAAUACAGAGGGUCCAAGCGUUGAUCGGAAUCACUGGGCUUAAAGGGUGCGCAGGCGGCGUCGCAAGUGUCUUGUGAAAUCCCCCGGCUCAACCGGGGAACUGCUCGACAGACUGCGACGCUUGAGCUCGACAGAGGUAAUCGGAACGCUAGGUGGAGCGGUGAAAUGCGUAGAUAUCUAGCGGAACGCCAAAGGUGAAGACAGGUUACUGGGUCGAUGCUGACGCUCAGGCACGAAAGCGUGGGUAGCGAACGGGAUUAGAUACCCCCGUAGUCC